AUUGAACGCUGGCGGACUGCUUUACACAUGCAAGUCGAACGGCAGCACGGGGCAACCUGGUGGCGAGUGGCGAACGGGUGAGUAAUACAUCGGAACGUGCCCAAUCGUGGGGGAUAACGUAGCGAAAGUUACGCUAAUACCGCAUACGAUCUACGGAUGAAAGCGGGGGAUCGCAAGACCUCGCGCGAAUGGAGCGGCCGAUGUCAGAUUAGGUAGUUGGUGGGGUAAAGGCUCACCAAGCCAACGAUCUGUAGCUGGUCUGAGAGGACGACCAGCCACACUGGAACUGAGACACGGUCCAGACUCCUACGGGAGGCAGCAGUGGGGAAUUUUGGACAAUGGGCGCAAGCCUGAUCCAGCCAUUCCGCGUGCAGGAUGAAGGCCUUCGGG
rnacentral:rRNA from 1 species